UGGAGCAUGUGGUUUAAUUCGAAGCAAACGCGAAGAACCUUACCAGGUCUUGACAUCCCGAUGCUAUUUCUAGAGAUAGAAAGUUACUUCGGUACAUCGGUGACAGGUGGUGCAUGGUUGUCGUCAGCUCGUGUCGUGAGAUGUUGGGUUAAGUCCCGCAACGAGCGCAACCCCUAUUGUUAGUUGCCAUCAUUCAGUUGGGCACUCUAGCGAGACUGCCGGUAAUAAACCGGAGGAAGUGGGGAUGACGUCAAAUCAUCAUGCCCCUUAUGACCUGGGCUACACACGUGCUACAAUGGUUGGUACAACGAGUUGCGAGUCGGUGACGGCGAGCUAAUCUCUUAAAGCCAAUCUCAGUUCGGAUUGUAGGCUGCAACUCGCCUACAUGAAGUCGGAAUCGCUAGUAAUCGCGGAUCAGCACGCCGCGGUCGAAUACGUUCCCGGGCCUU
rnacentral:rRNA from 1 species